CACCAGACUCCUACGGGAGGCAGCAGUGGGGAAUAUUGCACAAUGGGGGAAACCCUGAUGCAGCGACGCCGCGUGAGUGAAGAAGUAUUUCGGUAUGUAAAGCUCUAUCAGCAGGGAAGAAAAACCGACCUUAGGGUCGCUAGACGGUACCUGAUUAAGAAGCCCCGGCUAACUACGUGCCAGCAGCCGCGGUAAUACGUAGGGGGCAAGCGUUAUCCGGAUUUACUGGGUGUAAAGGGAGCGUAGACGGCGGCGCAAGACUGAAGUGAAAUGACGGGGCUUAACCCCGGAACUGCUUUGGAGACUGAGCAGCUAGAGUGCAGGAGAGGUAAGUGGAAUUCCUAGUGUAGCGGUGAGAUGCGUAGAUAUUAGGAGGAACACCAGUGGCGAAGGCGGCUUACCGGGCUGUAACUGACGUGGAGACUCGAAAGCGUGGGGAGCAAACAGGGUUAGAUACCCACGUACAA
rnacentral:rRNA from 1 species